AUGAACGCUGGCGGCGUGCCUAAUACAUGCAAGUCGAGCGAACGGACGAGAAGCUUGCUUCUCUGAUGUUAGCGGCGGACGGGUGAGUAACACGUGGAUAACCUACCUAUAAGACUGGGAUAACUUCGGGAAACCGGAGCUAAUACUGGAUAAUAUUUUGAACCGCAUGGUUCAAAAGUGGAAGACGGUCUUGCUGUCACUUAUAGAUGGAUCCGCGCUGCAUUAGCUAGUUGGUAAGGUAACGGCUUACCAAGGCAACGAUGCAUAGCCGACCUGAGAGGGUGAUCGGCCACACUGGAACUGAGACACGGUCCAGACUCCUACGGGAGGCAGCAGUAGGGAAUCUUCCGCAAUGGGCGAAAGCCUGACGGAGCAACGCCGCGUGAGUGAUGAAGGUCUUCGGAUCGUAAAACUCUGUUAUUAGGGAAGAACAUAUGUGUAAGUAACUGUGCACAUCUUGACGGUACCUAAUCAGAAAGCCACGGCUAACUACGUG
rnacentral:rRNA from 1 species